rnacentral:rRNA from 1 species
UACGAAGGGGGCUAGCGUUGCUCGGAAUUACUGGGCGUAAAGGGCGCGUAGGCGGACAGUUUAGUCAGAGGUGAAAGCCCAGGGCUCAACCCUGGAAUUGCCUUUGAUACUGGCUGUCUUGAGUACGGGAGAGGUGUGUGGAACUCCGAGUGUAGAGGUGAAAUUCGUAGAUAUUCGGAAGAACACCAGUGGCGAAGGCGACACACUGGCCCGUUACUGACGCUGAGGCGCGAAAGCGUGGGGAGCAAACAGGG